GUUAAGAGCUUGUUCUAUUAUAAGAAGAUAGUUGUGCGCAGGUUUAGAUCUGUUUGUAUCUGUGCCUUCUGACAUACAGCUUUUGGGGCACGAAAAGAAGAAGACGUUAGUGUUACACGGUCAAUAAAUUUCGACAUCAAAAGAACAAAAUGUCGUCAUUUCCGAAUAUGGGAUGCAUGGCGCCAAUUGUAGGCCCAGUAAAAAAGGCUGACCAGUGGAAAGGAAUUAAAGAAAAGUUUGAUGGUAAUAAAGAUUCUAGUAACACUCAGGAUACUCAGCGACAGAAGUCGAGCUCUUCACAGCAAAAGGGCGAUUCAAGUAACGCAAAAUAACGAACAUAUGAAAGAUUUUUUUACACACGACUGGAAAAUGGGCCUGUUUUCUUUGUUUCUCACCAUACACAUUAGAUACCCAUAAUACUGCUCUCAUAUAAAGAUUUCUGAAUGCAUUAAUAUAUUUUCGAAUAUUUUAUGAUUUAUUCAUCCUUAUUAUGCAAUAUUAUUUUUAUGAACUGGAAUAUAUAUAUAUAUAUUAUAAUGCAUUCAAUAUUGUUGCAUGGGAUAUUUUUUCCAAAUGUACUUUGUAAUACAAGACUUAUAAAUACUGUGACUCUGUACUUUUUGUGAAGAAUAAUAAAUUUUUAUUUUGGUAAAUAAAGAAUAUUGUUUAU